CCACACGGUUCCAGUCCCGAAGUUUCCGCGACGGUGGCCGCAGAGGGUUGGACUGUUUCUGGUUUCGUGGAACCGAACAGAUCAUCUGAAAUUCCACUGAGGGGGUGCUGCAUGGUCAAAGGCAUUGCUUUUUGAAUGAAUCAUUAAAACAAAGACACAGGCUUCAAAGAAUUGGAUAAUCAUCCUGGUAUCCUGGUCAACGUCACUAAUAAACAGAUUAUCUGGUCGUUAUUGCAUUGCUGUUUGUGAGUUAUUACUGCCAGAAUUUGACAGCAAUGACUAUACAUCGAAAGUAUCAGCUGUUAAAAUACUUUGGGUUGUGCUGAGAGUGUGAAAGAUGCCUUGGAAAUGAGAAGUCAGCUCAUAACAGGUUGGAGAGAGCCUGAAUGGGUGGAAGUCGGGAAGGCAGCUGUGUUCUCACCCCCUGCAAGGAGACAAAUAGGGCCCUCAGAGGAGAAGACAGGGAUUAAUCCUGCAGAAACAUCCAUGUCAUGCCAAACGACCUCCUGACGAUAUCUGUGGAGAAGAAGCCACUGAGGAGGAAUCACCUGCUUCCAAGGAUGAGUGUACCAAGGACUUAGAGGCAGCAUCAGCAAAGCAGCUUCCUGUAUGGUCCAGCAGCCCUGACACUGGCACCUCAAUAGGAACUACAAACAUAGAGAGUGUGGCCCACCCAGCUAUUCACAAAAUUAUAAAUGAUUUUGUUGAGGGAGCUAAAUGUAAUAUUUCAAAGUUUGCAGAUGACACAAAGCUGGGUAGGAGGAUAAACUGUGAGGAAGAUUCAGCGAUGCUCCAGUGUGAUUUUGACAAUUGAAUGAGUGACCAAAUGCAUGGCAGAUGAGGUAUAAUGUGGAUAAAUGUUAGGUUUCCAAUUUGGUAGCAAAAACAGGAAGGUGGAUUGGGAAAUGGGGAGGUGCAAUGAGAGCUGGGUGUCCUUGUUCACCAGUUCCUGAAAGUAAGCAUGCAGGUGCAGCAGGGUGAAGAAAGCAAUGGUAUAUUGGCUUUCAUAUUGAGAGGAUUCAAGUAUGGGAAUAAGAAUGUUUUGCUGAAAUGAAACAAUGCCUUGGUGAGGACACAACUGAAGUAUUGUGUGAGUUUUGGUCUCCUUUUCUGAGGCAGGAUGUGCUGGCUAUGGAGGGAGUGCAACAAAAAUUCACCAGACUGAUUCCUGGAAUGGCAGGACUGACGUAUGAAGAGAGGCAGGAUGAGUUAGGACUAUAUUCGUGGUGUUUAGAAGAAUGAGGGGGGCAUUUCACAGAAACCUAUAAGAUUCUGACAGGACUAGACAGGGUAAAUUGGGGGAAGGAUGUUCUCAAUGACCGGGCGUCCAGAGCCAGACGUCACAAUAUAAGGAUAUGGGGUAGGACUGAGCUAAGGAGAAACUUCUUUGGCCAGAGAGUAGGGAGCCUUGGAAUAUUAGAGGAAUAUUAGAGAUUCUCAAGAUUGAGAAUUGAAGCUGAAACCACAGCUAAGGCAAACCAUUUGCGGGAUAGAGAAGGAUAUUCUUUCAGGUGUUUGAGUACUGUAAUGAAUUGCCAGUGGGAUUAAUGUCUCUUUACCAUGUGUUUCAAUAUCUUUAACCGUGUAUUUUAUGUCAUGGUUUGGUCUAUUCUUUUUUAUUUCAUUUCUUUUGCAUCAUAACGUUUUGUUAUUUUGUUAAAAACCUAGUCUGCAGGUUUAAAUGUUUGUGUUGUGAAAAACUAUUUUGUUAAAUAAAAAAAAACAACAAAGUAUGAUCUAUCAAGCCAGAUUACAGUUAGUGAACUGACUUGCCCAGUAAUAAUAUCAGCUGGGACCAUAACAGUUUUGUACUGCCACUAGCAGAAAAAUUGUCAAUAGCAUUCAAUCAUUUGUCCCAGGAACAAGGUCAUUGCUGCACACCCAAAAUCACAUGAGGUUCUGUGCUGAAAUAGAGGGGAGCAGAAGAAGCUAAUAGGAUUUCAGAAUGAAGUCAGUUCAGACCUAUUAUCGAUUAGGAGACAGGCAGCAGAGUUUUGAAUCAACUGAAGUUAACAUGGAAGAUGUCAAACCAAUCAGUAGAGUAUUGGAUUGUUGGGGAGAAUUUAAUGCUCUAAUUUUUUGACUAUGUUCGUAUUCCUAGGAUCCCUAGCCGCAGUAAAUAUUUUCUUUCCAUCUAUCCACACAAUACGUUCCCCUUAAUAUCUUGAAAACCUUGAUCAAAUCUCCCCUCUAUCUUCUAAAUUCCAAAGGAAUACAAUGCUAGUUCAUUGUAAUUUAACACUUGGAGGCCUGGUAUUAAUUCACUUCCCUCAAGCUGUGGAUCCCAAAAAUAGUCACAGUGUUCUAGUGUAGCAGUGUAGUGAUCUAACCAGGGAUUGGAACCUAAGUAAAUAAGAAAUAGGGGGAAGAGGAGGCUAUUCAGCCUCUUGGGUCUACCCUGCUAUUCAAAAUGAUUACGGCUGAUGUUCUGCCUCAACUCCACUUUCCAGUCAGCACCCAGUAUUCUUUCGUCUCUGAGGGAUUAUAAACCUAUCAAACUCAGCUUUGAACAUACACAUGUCUAUACACAUCUCUUAGGUGGAAUGAUUCACUACCCUCAUCUCAGUUCUUAAUGAUUAGGCUCUUGCCCUGGGACUACGGCCCCAUGUUCUAGCUUCCCCUGACAGGAGAAACAACAUUAUUUGUUCUGAAUCAUCUUGCAUUCAUUUGAAUCUAGAGAUUAUAGGCCCAAUUUAGUCAGCUUUUCAUCAUUGGAUACCUCUCCCACCCCAGGAACAAUCAAGUGAAUCAUUGCUAUACCACCUCCAGGGCAGAAAUAUCCUUCCUGAGAUAGAGAGACAAACAUUGCGCACUCUAUUCUGUAAGUUCUUCCUCAAGCUUCAUCAUGACAAGCAGUUAACAGGAGGGGAGAGGAAACACUUCCAGGAUGUUCUAAGAGCUUCCCUGAAACAAAUACGAUAUCCAUGCUGACUUUUGAGAGCCUCUAAACCAAGACUGCUCAAACUGGAGAUGAAAUAUUUGUCAAGUAGGCAACAAUUUCAAGUGUUUCCAGCAGGCCAAUUGCAAACAGCAGAAGGAGAGUGUGAAACUACAGGCAUCGGACCCACCCAUAAGACUAUAAGAAAUAGGAACAGGAGUAGGCUGUUUGGCUUGUUAAGCCUGCUCCACCAUUCAAUAGAA